rnacentral:rRNA from 1 species
UACGAAGGGGGCUAGCGUUGCUCGGAAUCACUGGGCGUAAAGCGCACGUAGGCGGGUCGUUAAGUCGGGGGUGAAAUCCUGGAGCUCAACUCCAGAACUGCCUUCGAUACUGGCGAUCUUGAGUCUGGGAGAGGUGAGUGGAACUCCGAGUGUAGAGGUGAAAUUCGUAGAGAUCCGGAAGAACACCGACGGCGAAGGCAGCGUCCUGGCCGAGGCCUGACGCUCAGGCACGAAAGCGCGGGGAGCGAACAGG